UCACAUCAAGGUGGGACUACCUUUCC
rnacentral:piRNA from 1 species